UCACUCGCUUUCGAGAACUAAGAUUUACAGCUUAUUCUCCAUUCGGCGAAUCUUCUUACAGGGAAUUCUACUCUUCUUUCAUAGAUUGGGAACACAAUAAGCACCAGUAGCCUAUUGAGUUAGAGGAGCUAGAUGACUUUCAUUAGCUCCUAGCGCAGCAUAUCUGAAUUCACUAUAGGGUUAAGAGUGACUUGCUUACACUGCUGAAUAACCUUCACUUUAGCGAGCUGUAGGACAAACUACAUUCAAGAGGAGAAAGGAAACUUUGAAUAGAAGGAUCAGUGCCCGUAGCAGUCCUGGAGUUAGGUUAUGAUGGUCGUGAUGAGCUCUACUAGAAAGAAAAUCUCUUCUAUUCAUAGAUGAAGUCCUAUCUAAGGGCCUUCGUUGCCCUUGAAUUCCGUUCCCUAGUUCAGUCCGGAACUCUAGAUGUGUAAGUAGCGGCCAAGCGGCUCUGUCCGUUUCAAAGAGGUUAUCCUUCUCUCUCCUCGCUUCUUAGUCUUAUAGGAUAGCUCACCAUUCAAGUAAGUCACUUUACCCGGCGCUUACUGUCUUCUUUCUAGCCUAAUUGGUAGCAGUCCCUUUUUAGUACCACCUUUCCUUUUCUUCUCUUUCAGCAGGCUCUCUGGCCAGCUGAAGACUGAAUAAAGCAGUUCAAGCCCGCUUGAGAUCUAUCCAAGACAUGGCCGAUGGCUACUUCCAAUUCAAGUGCCACUUCUCUUAACACAACUCGGGCUAAUUGACUCCCAGCCUAGCUAGACCUGGUGAAAGCAAUCAAGCCAAAGCAAUACUUAUUCCUUCAACGGUAAGAGCUGCAGAUGAAAUAGCAGUGGUUAUGCCGACAUCUACUCAAAGAAGAAUAGUAUUAGAGUCAAGACCGGUGCUAUCCCCUUCCCCUGCUACGCUUCCUUACUCAACAAUCAAAGAAGCAUUUUCGAUUCCCCGAUCCACUCUCGUGCUAACAUGCUAACAGCGGUUUAGGUAAGCCAGGGGCUAAGCGGGAAUGCCCUAUUAAUCAAAGAUGCAUUUUCGAUUCUCCGAUCCACUCUCGUGCUAUCACAGCCGGUACCGCAUUUCUUUUUUCUUAGGGGGCCCUGUGUAAGGGCGGACGGGAAUGCCUAGCCCUCUAAAUCAGUCUUCCUCCGCCCGAAUCGGAAUCAAAGUAGUAUCCACCUUCUUCCUUUGCCGGUAUCCUAAGAUCGAUCUCUUGACUAAGUCAUUUCACACGUUGCACUGAGAACAAGGGACUGAUCCCGUACCGUGCUACUGCCUUGACCUAGGAUUCUUUUCCUCACAUCGGAUUCUGAACUGAAAAUUGCAAUGAACAAGGGACUGAUCCCGUACCGUGCUACUGCUUUGACCUAGGAUUCAUUUCCUCACAUCGGAUUCUGAAAUGAAAAACGGAAGCUUUCAAGGAAAGAGAUUCUAAGACAUCACAUUCUGAGGCAAAGAGCCCAUUCGAUGGCAUCCCCGCCCGCUUGAAUUUCACUUUCACUCUUGGAUAGCUAUAGCUACGGGGUUUUUCUGGCUUGAACGGGAAGAAAUCCAUGAGAGGAAAACUACUUCUUUUAGAAAACAGACUUACUUAGUUCAACAAAAGGUCUUGACCAACAAAAAGAGCUUUUUCCACCAGUCUUUUAGGCCGGGCACCUUCUUUCUCUUCAUUUCAUUUCAGGAAGAAGAAGAAAGGCAAAGUUCUUCUAUCCAGUUGAGGACGAAUUACAGUUCCACAUCCAACAAGGAAGAUAAGCGCAUAAAUUGGAUUCCCGGCUGACUCUUCUUCUUUGAAGCAUUUAGAGAGAAUCAAGAUUGGCUUAGUCGGAUCUUGCCAGGCAAUUGCCUUUUUUCCACAAGAGAUUGCUCUCCUCCGAGGCUUGAGAGCUUAUUCCCUUCUUGUUCACCUUUCUUUUUCUUUACUUAUUUUCUUUAUUGAAUGAUUGGCUCAAUAGCUUUCUUCCUUCAAUUAGAAAAGGGGCUAAUGGAAACUCAGGAGCUUCACUCAGAGCUAUUAAGCUCUUUGGGGGAAGUCAGAAGUUCUUCCACUCGCAUUGAAUGAUUGGCUCAAUAGCUUUCCUCCUUCAAUUAGAAAAGGGGCUAAUGGAAACUCAGGAGCUUCACUCAGAGCUAUUAUAAGCUCUUUGGGGGAAGUCAGAAGUUCUUCCACUCGGAAUUGCAUCAGAGAAGAAAGCUCCACAGAAGACUCCGAAGGAGUAGGAAUUGGCUCACUAGGUUCUUCAACUAAAAAGUAGUCAAAUCGCAAAACUCCUUACUACAAUCCUCCUUCGAUGCCUACUUACUUAGGUCUAGCUGACCCAGCUUGAAGUCUACCAACCCUUUUCAAAUAGUUAAAUCGCAAAACUCCUUACUACAAUCCUCCUUCAAUACCUACUUACUUAGGUCUAGCUGACCCAGCUUGAAGUCUACCAACCCUUUUCAAGUUGGGAAUGCCACAUCAAUCUGAUAUUCUAAUAUGUUGACUUGCACCCAGGCCUAUCUCUGUGGUAGGGCCGUCUCGCUAGGUGAGAUAAUGAGACCAAAGCAUGAAAAAUCGGCUGCCUGCGAAAUCAACAGGAAAGCUUUGGCUGUUUGCUUUAGCAACGACGGUAAAGGGCAGGUUCUGUAGUCAACUGCACUUGGUCACUUCCUGCUCUGUCGGGUCAUUUGAUCUUCUCAGUUCCACUCGGGCAUACUCUUUCAUAGGCUCGACACAGGUUGUGACGUCGGGUCCUCUCUUCUCUUCAUGAAUCUCAGUUGGAAGCCCCCAUUUUCAUCAGACAUCCAAUGAAGUAGGAGCUCGCUCCCUACCUAGCCGGGUCCUCUCUUCUCUUCAUGAAUCUCAUUUGGAAGCCCCCAUUUUCGUCAGACAUCCAAUGAAGUAGGAGCUUGCUCCCUACCUAGCGGUACUUCCAUGGCUUGCCUCUCGAGGUCCUGUUUGAAAGGCAGUUGCGAGAACCUGUCUGGAUUGAGUGGUCCUUUUUCGGGCAGCUACUAAGACAUAUGUUGGCCCGAGCUUCCCUUGGCAUACCUUACAUACCAUUACUAAGAAAAGUAAGUAGGAAUUCGUCCUAGAUAAACUACUGAUGUAGCUCUUUCGCAUCGAGGAAAACCCCUAUUUCCUCUUUCAGGUUAGGCGCCCUUUGCUCGAACGAAAAAGGGGUCUUUGCCGGGACCAGACAUAGGUUGGCCCGAGCUUCCCUUGGCAUACCUUCGUUACAAUUACUAAGAAAAGUAAGUAGGAAUUCGUCCCAGAUAUACUACUGAUCUAGCUCUUUCGCAUCGAGGAAAACCCCUAUUUCCUCUUUCAGGUUAGGCGCCCUUUGCUCGAACGAAAGAGGGGUCUUUGCCGGGACCGAUGCUAGUAGUUAGAUUCAAUAUUCAAAAAGUCUUAAAUAGAAGCCAAAUCCAGUUGAGAAGAGACAAGCACGGUGACAUCCAUCGAAGGGAUCUCGGUCGAGAAGCGGCCCAGGUAAAGCCAAUCUUUGCCGAGACCGAUGCUAGUAGUUAGAUUCAAUAUUCAAAAAGUCUUAAAUAGAAGCCAAAUCCAGUUAAGAAGAGAGAAGCACGGUGACAUCCAUCGAAGGGAUCUCGGUCGAGAAGCUGCCCAGGUAAAGCCAGAUUUCAAAGGUAGAAUGUAUUGGUGGCACAUCGACCUAGAAUAAGGGCUCUAGUCCACGAUUCCUGGAUUCCAACCUUUCAAAGGCAAAGGAAGUCUCAAGCUGUAAAAGUAGGCCUGCCAUCGAUGCUAAGAGAUAGACGAGCUACCAUAGAUCCCUCACCGACGAAUAGCGUACUUUCCUCUUAGAAUAUCCCUUGAAUAAGCGGAUGAACCACUUGAGCCUCCUAUUUCACUGAAUCCGCUCCCAUCUCUAUGACGAAUAGCGUACAUUCCUCUUAGAAUAUCCCUUGAAUAAGCGGAUGAACCUGAGCCUCCUAUUUCACUGAAUCCGCUCCCAUCUCUACAGAGCCGCGAAAGCUUAUAGGAUCUCUAGGCUGUAGAGAAAGGGCCUAUGAUGGAAUCAUUGAAUCUCAGCGACGCGGUGAAAGAUCUAAAAGAGGUGGAUGAUCCCAAGUAUUGCAAAUAUCACCGCAUCGUCAGUCACCCUACAGCAAGAUGCUUCGUCUUAAAGGAGAAGAUCAUGACGUUGGUGAGAGAUGGAAAGAUCAUCAUUGACGCUAAUUUGCAAAUAUCACCGCACCGUCAGUCACCCUAUAGCAAGAUGCUUCGUCUUAAAGGAGAAGAUCAUGACGUUGGUGAGAGAUGGAAAGACAUCAUUGCCCUUGGGUUUGUCAACCAACCUGGCAUGUUCACACGGGGCGCCUCGGCAAUGAUGUAGUCGUAGUAGUCCUCUAAUGGGAAAUCUGUUAAGAUCCGCCCAUGAUUCAUGGAACCAUUCCUUCGUGUGCCGUAGUUUAGGAUUCGUGCUAUUGCUAUUGUUUAGGGGCGUCAAGACCGGGUUCCUACAUUUUCUUUUUGAGAAAGAAGAGGUUAAAGGACAAGCGAAAGAGAUGCCGAAAGAGCAGAUGCUUUUAUUUGAAACAAAAGCAAUGCAUACCUCCCGCUAAAGAACACUAUUGACAAUAGGGUCGGGGAGGCCCUCAAAAAAAGCGAUAGAGCAAAAAAGAAAGAAAGGAUCAAAACAUCACGGGCUGCACGCAAAAGAAAAGAGAGGAUAGCCAGAAUUGUAUUGAGGCCGCAGCAGCAAGAAAACAUUAAGAGCACGUCUUCCCAAACAAAGCAGCCUUCAGCAGGAGCUGCACUACGAUGCCUCAGCUCUGGGAACAGGAAGGAACUGAGCGCCCCGGCGAAUAAAGAAAACCUAGAACAAAAAUGGAAGCCUAAGCCUUCACAUCCGAAACUUAAAAAUCAUCAGUUGGAGAAUCUUUUUACAGGGUAGGCAUGGUGAAGGCAGAAUGGAAAUAGAAAACAACUAAAUGACUUAGUCUUGCCUUCUUCUUCCUUUAUGGAGAGAGGGCAAGAGCCCAUACUUGGAGCACGAAUUCAUACGUAAGAUGCCCAGUUGGAUCACUAAUUCGUAGAUGGACAACCUCUAUAAAGGAUCUCCCUCGAAAGGAGAAUAAAUACCAUUGUAGCUAGGCUCUGUUCUCUUGAAUAGGUAGGCUCAGUACGCUAAGGAAGCUUGGUCUGCUUAGGGCUCAUAGGAGGUAGGACAGAUAAUAGAAUUUCGCCGGCGAAUUUAGAGAGCUGCAAAUCAGGCUUUCAGAGUGGUGGCAAGCAGGGCAAGAAGAUAAAGUCCGAUCUGACCCUAAGCAGAUUUUUGACAUCUCUCUCGCAUCCGCUUUCAAGUUUGACAUGACAUUAGAGCUCUCGUACUUAGUGACGAGUUCGAGCCUUAGAAGCAUGCGAAGGAAUAAGGUCUGGAAUAAGUCUUGUAUGAGUCCUUUAAUCGAGUCCCUCUUCUUUAAUAGGUGCUUUCAAGUAGCAGGUUUUGAUUAUCUUUUUACGAUUACGAUUCCAGUAUUAAAUAUCUCCGCCUCCCCAUUCCUUUAUCAAAGUCUAGUACUUAUGGGCGCAAGUCAGUCUCUUCAAGUGGAAGCAAUCAUAGGGGGUUUGGGUCUGAGGUAAGCCUUCCUCUAUCAUUUGUAGGCAAAAAAGGGGUAAGUGAACCUGGCUGUCUUUGUUAAUAAGCAAAUGGGUAAGUAAGUAAGCGCAAACAGUACGAAUCUCUUUCUGUAUUCAAGCCUGCUCCUGGUCGCUCGGACUUUUGUUCUAGUGUGAGCCUUGAAUGUACCCGAAGUUAGGCAAUCAUCAUGAAUUCCUUUAAACGGAUCCCUCUUUCUUCAUGACACUUCUUAGGGAGUAGGAUCUGUUUCCUAUGAGCUCAAAGAAAGAUAGCGAAGAAAUAUUUUAUUUUGAAAGCAAAGAGGAGAGUGGCGGUCAUGGAAGCAAGCGAAGUCGAAUAUAUUAGAUGAGCUUACUUAGUACGUUAAGAUACCCAUUGCACAGGAAGGCUAUGUCAUUCCUGGACUAUUGCUGAUGAGAUUUAGAAAGUCCCAAGCUGAUUCCCAAUACCAACUUAGCAUUUCAUGGUCCGCUAGAUCACAAUAGAUGUCUUUCAAUAAAGAUAGGUCAUUCAUCGCUUCAUCCCCAAAAACCGCUUGGCAGAACUCUAUUGGACUCCAUUCUGGUGUAAAUUCUUUCCCACUUCCAUUCGUUGCUCAAAAAGAGCGGUGAUAUCACUCAAAACUUGAGUGCUAGUAAUAUCCCCCGAAUUGGCGUCCGACAGAGUGCUACUAGUCGGACCUUCGUGGGACCUCAGAGAUAAACCUAAAUCCACUUGGGAAGAUGAAUUAAAAGGAGAAAGGCUCAAGAAAGGCUCUUUCUAUCUUAUUAGUCAAGCGCUAACGAGCAAGAAAACGGAUAUGCCCUAAGAAGCAACUUGGUGCAGCUGCUGCGCAUUUGCUUCUUGCUUUAGAAAGAUUGCUCGUUAGCUAGGCCGUUUUCAAUUAGGCUCGCGCUAGGCGCACACCUUUUUUGGCUACGCCGUAUCGUAUCUUGCUGGUAAUGGAUUUAUUCUUGAAUCUUGCUUGGUUUAGGCAGGUAAGUGUUAGGAGGCUCUUGUUGGCUUUCAUUAGGUAUACAUAGGUACACAUAGGACUUUCUUGCAAUACAUAGUGGUUGGCUUCGAAUCACAUGAAGCUCCUAUUUCCUCUAAAGCUCUCCCCGUGGGGAACACAACCAGUCCAUACAAGGACCUACUAAGUCAUCCACCCUUGCAUCUAUUUGAUGCGUCAUCACAUGGCCGUCGUGUAACUCGUCGAGAAUCAUGUCAUUCGCCUGUCACGUGUUGCCACCAGAGUCAUAAAUACUCGAAGUAAGCUCCUGGCUCGCCCCUAUCUCUAAAGGGGCUUACGAACGAGCGGAGUGCUUACGGCCGUGGUAGCUGCGAGCCUCCUGGGUCUUGCUCUCUCGUCUUUUUUCCUCCGCCUUCCUCUUGUAAUUGACCCUUUCUUUUCUGCUACGCCUAUCCAUCCGUCAGAUUGACAUC
rnacentral:lncRNA from 1 species